rnacentral:lncRNA from 1 species
ACUCAUGCAAAUAGGGAGGCAAGGAUUAGCCUCAUGCAAAUGUGGAGUCAGGGAUUAGACUCAUGCAAAUAGGGAGGCAAGGAUUAGCCUCAUGCAAAUAGGGAGGCAAGGAUUAGACUCAUGCAAAUGUGGAGUCAGGUAUUAGACUCAUGCAAAUAGGGAGGCAGGGAUUAGCCUCAUGCAAGUAUGGAGGCAUGGAUUAGCCUCAUAGAGUCAAGGAUUAGACUAAUGUAGAUAGGGAGGCAAGGAUNNNNNNNNNNNNAAGGAUUAGCCUCAUGCAAAUGUGGAGUCAGGGAUUAGACUCAUGCAAAUAGGGAGGCAUGGAUUAGCCUCAUGCAAGUAUGAAGGCAUGGAUUAGCCUCAUGGAGUCAAGGAUUAGACUCGUGCAAGUAUGAAGGCAGGG